GAAAUUUCCAAUAUUUGAAAAGUUGUCUUGUAGAUUCCGGAAACUGUCUUACAAAAGAAGACCUAAGAGAGUAAGAAGAAGAUUAAAAGAUUGUUACAGUGUGAGAAGACAUCCUCAUUUUAAGAGAGUGAAAAAGAUAAUGAUAAAGUCGGAAAGAGAGAAGAGAAAAUCCGAAUAUCUUUAAUAAUAGUACUCAAUUUCUAUCUAUCACGUUUAAUAAUAUGAUAAAUUUUUAGAGAAAUAGAAAACGACAAGAGCACGCAAUAAAAUGAAAUAAAAGUUUUCUCUUAUUUUAUUCUUUUACUAGAUAAGGAUAGUAAAUAGAAAGAGCUUAAGGUCUUUUUUUUCCAAGACAGGAGAAUCGCGAAAAGUACAAUCACCCUUUUUGCAGUUUACUACUCUAAAUAUAGGACACUGUUUGAUUUAUCCUUAAAAUAUUCACUUAAUUUACAGUAAUCACAAUUUCAGAAUUCCGCAAAAAAUUUUUCAAUGAAUAAAGGAUAAGACUUUGAAAAGCAAACUUCUUAACUCUUUAUUAUUUAUUUGGGAACCGGAGCGAAAAAAAUGCAUCAAACGAUCUUCAUUCAUGUCUGAGCAUCGUUUUAGCGAAAUUACGCACCUGAGACACCAACGGAUAGGCUUAAGCUUUCAUGCUGGAAAAUGUACUCGCUUUUUAUCUGUACAGUUCAUUUAUUAUGAAUUAUAUUUUAUAGAUCUCUCACAGCUAAGAAUGAAAAAUCUGUGGAAAAAGUUUACUUUCAUUUGUUAGAUUUAAAAGAGAUUGUUAAAUUAGAUAAGAAUCAUAGGAUUUUAACCAUUGUAAUUUAAAGCGAGUAACAGCUCCAUCUAACAAGUAGAGAGAGUCGCUAGCGUAGAAGUCCAUUCGACGCCCUGAUAAAUAACUCGCCAUGCACAAGCUGGAACUAGAUAAUAUUCCAAAAGUUAAUUAUAAAUGUUGGGAAUGUUUCUCCGGAAGCUCUGAAUUUGAUUCGAAUGAACAUGCAUUUCUGGGAGGUGAUCCGUCUACGCGAACAGGCCGGCAUACCCAGAAGAGACAAAUACGAAUACUACCUCAAGUCCCCGUAGUAUGUUGUGGAAUAUUUACGUUUGUCAUGUUAAGUUUGGCUGUAAAGGCACUAGUUACUUCAAAUCUCAUGAACAGAAGGGUAGAUAGAACAGAAAAGCUUGUGAAUGUAGUCUUUUUCCUGAGAAGGGAGCGUCAUCAGGUCUUGGAAUAUAUAACAACAGAUGGUACUGGAUUAACCAGGACUAUGGGUGAAGUUUAUUCGGAUACAGAUAAAAGCAUAAAUGAAAUAAGCUUUUAUGAGAGGCAAGAGACAUUAAAAAAGAAAUUAAAAGAUCAUAGAGAAUCCACGAAAUUGGAAAGAAGAUUCAUUCCAGAAGAGUUGGAAUUUUACACUAAGAUAUCGAAAGAUUUAUUAUCCUAUUCUAUUACUAAGUUGAUAAAUGAUGGAAAGACUAAAUCGUGGAAUACUAUAACAUCAUGGAUAUGGCUAUUUAGAACAGAAGAGUCUUUGGAUAUCUGCGAUUCAAUUGCCUACAUAAAAUUCAAGAAUAAACUCUUUACCAGGCAGUUAUUUUAUACGUUUAUUGAAAACGAUCUUUUGGCUAAGGAAGACUUGGACAUGGCUUUCAAUUACGAUGGUAAAUCAAGAGAGAUGUAUGAAAAUUUAUAUCUUAAAAAUUCACUGCUCAAACUUAAAGUGGAAGAUCUCCUCAAUCAAGUUAAGACGAUUGAUGAUAACAGCACAGACGAUUUGUCUCUGUACUGGGCAAAAUGGUUUGGCUAUUAUAAACAAAUCAUUACUGAUAUUAGAUUGGAAGCUCUUCGUAGAAAGAAAACAAACUUAAAUGAAAUAUAUAAAACAGCAGCAAUCGAAAGUAGCAUUCAUUUGAUUCUUCUCGCCAUAAUAGUUAUUUGUAUAGGUCCUCUUCUUAACAUAUCAUCAAAACGGACAGUUAUUUCAAUGCACAGUUUAACGGUAUCUAUAUCAAAGAAUCAGCGCGAAUUAAAAUCUCAGAAAAGGAAGACGGAAGUUCUCUUGAGGGAGAUGCUUCCACGAAGUGUUGCUUACAAAUUCUUGAAAGGAGAAGAAGUAGAACCACAAUUUUUCGACUGUGUCACCGUUUUAUUCUCCGACAUUGCUGAUUUUAAUCAAAUUACCAGUCGAAGUGCUCCUCUGCAAAUAGUUGAAUUUUUGAAUGUCAUAUAUAAUCUUAUAGAUGAUUGCGUCAGUAAAUUCGAUGUCUAUAAAGUUGAGACUAUUGGAGCUGUUUACAUGGUCGUCUCCGGUCUACCUAUGGCAAACGGCAACAAACACGCUGUAGAAAUAUCUAAAUUGGCGUUAGCCAUGUUAAGAAAGACGGGCGAUAUGGAUAUGGAAGUGAUUAAUGAUAAAAAACUUUUGUUACGAAUUGGCAUUCACACCGGUUCCUGCGUUGCUGGUAUUGUUGGUAAUAAGAUGCCUCGUUACUGUCUUUUUGGUGAUACAAUCAAUACUGCAUCAAGAAUGCAAACCAAUGGACUACCUAGAAAAAUACACAUGAGUAAAACAACAAAAGAGAAAUUAGACCUACAAAAUGACGAAUGGAUUACAGAAGAGAGAGGGACAAUAGAAAUAAAAGGUAAAGGUCAAAUGAAAACUUUCUGGCUGAUAGGUCGUCUGCGAAACCAAAAGCUUUCUCUUCCGGAAAGUGAAACUAGUGGCAUAGAAAAUACAAAUGAGUAAAAGAAGAAAGGGUUAAAGGUUAGAAGACGAAUGUUUCUUAAUUCAUCCGCACAAAGGAAAGCACAUAUAUAUAUACAGCAUAUAUACUGUGUAUCCAAUAAAUACUCUGUGUAGCACUCUAAAUUUGCUGCCUUUAAAUGUAAAAACUGCAAUAAAUACACCUAGCUAUAUAUUGUAUAUCUUUCAAGCUGUAUAUGCAAUAAAUAUAUAAAAAGAAAACUGUAAGAUAAUUAAUCUAGUUUUUAAGGUUUUUAUAUUCCAAACGUUUAGGUUUAAAAUACAUACAUUUAUUAAUGUUUUAUAAUGUUAAUUUAUGCAAUCUAUUUGUACUUUACACUGUUCAAUAUCAAUAUUAAGUCUUUUAUCAUUUAAUUUUCUUGUAUAAGUAACAGCAGGCACGCAUAACUCGGUCAAACCAACAUCAUCAUUAUCACAAUUUAAAAUCCAAACGGGUAAAGCUAUUCUCUCUAAAUGAGCAAAUUGGCGAUCAAUUACCGCAAAUUGUUGUUCUGAAAUUAAGAAGAGCUGUCCCUCUACUGAGCUUUUCUCAUCAAUUUCAAUGUCCAUGUAUCUCUUUUUAGGCCUAUUUGUUAGUCGAAAACCAAAUAGAAUUGACCAGCACUUUUCAGAUUGUAGCAUCACUUCUGACGUAUAAGAGAAAUAAUAGACAUAACCUUUUGGUGGAUAAACGUUCACUCGAAACUUAAUUGAAUCUUCUUCACAAUUGAACUUUCGAAAACUUCCUAUUGAAUUUACUGCCUCCGAUCUAACUUCCGCUUCAUACGAACUUAUUUCAUCAGGCUUGGUAGAGUAGUAUACAGUUGUCAUUACUAAAUUUGAAUCAUUCUUUUUAUCAAUCGUGUUUAAUUUUUUUAUCUCUUUAGCAUUGUUUAAUGUACUACUUUCAAUUUCAAUUUUCAUUUUAUCAACUGCCUCUUCCGUCCAAGCAUUUCGGUUGAUUUUAUUUAAAUUUAUAAGCGAUGAAUCAUUCUCAACAGUUAGCUUUUCCUCUUUAUAUUCAGUAUUCAGGUUAUUCUUAGCGUAUGAAAGUCUUUCUAUAUUUUUAAAAUGGUUUUCUUUAUUGUCAAUUGAGGUUGAUCUAAUUUUAUUUUUCUCCGUUGCAUAAAUUAAUCUCUCAUCAUUCUCACACCAACCAAAAUAUUUUGAGCAUUUUCUACACAAGAUGGCGCCGCAUUCCCUUGAGCAUUUAACGCAAGUGCCAGAACAUCUGGCGUGUAAAAAUUUGGAUGAAAUAUCCAAGAGUCCAUCGCAUUGAGGUUCUUCGUGAAGAACAUAAUUCCUGAAAGGUUUUGCGCUUUGAGGUCUCGAUAAAUUUAUAUUUUUCCUUCCGUGUUCUGUGGAAGAGGCGCUCUGCGGUCGAUCGUACUUUAACUUAGCAGUAGAGCACUUGACUUGAUUACCCGAAUUAGGUUCUUCAACCUUUUUAUCGGACUUUUCAUUUUCUUUUGCUUGGUUUCUACUAUUGUUAGAAAUAAAUCUACCGUUUUUCCCAACACCUUUGCACUCGUUGUUACCCUCGCUGUCAUCGCCAUCAUCGUUAGGCUUAUCCCUUUGUUCUUUAUCACUCGACUCUUCCUUACAAGUGCUUUUAGAUUUAGGCUUGACGUACACAUCCGAGCCAUCCUGAUGGAAAGUAACUCCUCUCUCGUCAUCAGAAGCUACGGAGGUUUGAUGAACUGAUUCACCAGUUUGAGGCCUAUCAGGUAAAUAAUUUCUGUUUAAUGUACUUAAGAUUUGUCUGCGUCUCUGUAAACUUCGACUAGGGCUUGCUGAGUAAGACCUAGUUUCCGCCACAAUUCCCCGACAAUUGUUCAUUGUUGGACCGGCUACAAAAACCGGAUUCAUUUCUUCUAGUCUCCCUCUUCUCAAUCGUCCACUUUUCUUCGCUUUCUCCUCUUUUUUCUCUUUUGCCAUGACUUUAGCAACGCGUCUCGUUGCCUGACUUGUUUUCUGUUUCAACGAUGUACCUGGCGAAAGUGGUCGGGCGUUGCGCGCUGUAGCUGAUGCUGAAGCAGCAUGUUUAAAAGGAAAUCUAACGUAGACAUUGUCAAAUUUUUCUGUUAUUGAUUCCAUUUGUUUAGCAUGAUGAUGAGGAAUUAAAGAAUUCCAAUCCGUAGUCGAUAUUGACGGCGAGAACAAACGCUGUUGUGGCGUAUUAACCGGAACUCGACAUGUUCCGUAGCUAGACUGCUUUAAAUUUGUUCUACAGUCUGUAGUAAUUGCCAAGAAUGUUCUUGACUGUGACAAUUGGAUAGUAACAAGUCAGUAAUAGUAUUAAGAGUACAUUAGAAAAUAAAACACAUUAAUACUCACGUCAGAGGAUGUCAUUAUUGUCUCCUUUUUAACUUUUCUGUUUGUAACCUCCUUUCCCGUUAUUGAAGAAUCUGAUUUACUUUGCCGUCGUUCCAUUUUAAAAGUGUCAAUUAAGUUUCCAUGGAGCGCGCCAUUUUAGACAACAAAACAACUGCCGUUGAAUAUUUCUAUAUUGAUAAAUGAAAAUGGCGGA
rnacentral:misc_RNA from 1 species